rnacentral:lncRNA from 1 species
GAAAAUUGUAAUUAACUAAUUUAUAUCAGAAGAGCUUUAUAUAUAUGUAUCAAGCAAGCUCCAAAAUAUAUCAAUAAUAGUUUGGAAAAUAUAUUUAUUUCUAAAGAUUUGGAAUCGUGUUUAAAUACUAAUAUACACAGGCUAGUACUUAAUCAUCACUCUUUAUAUACCAUACAGCAUGAUCCAUCUUUAAUGAUCAGUCUCAUGCAUGUCUAUAAUUCAUAUAUUUCUUCGAUUCCCUAAGUUUAUAUAUCUCUUCUAGCUAGCUAGAGGUGAAAUAUAUAUAUUGGUAUGGCUGGACCAAAUUUAAAGGUCACCAUAACACGAGAUAAAUGCGGUACGGUGUAAAUACUAUGGAUAAUUCAUUCAUGAUAUCAAAUUUUAUUAUUAGGGUUUUCCUUCCUAAUUUAGUCCUUGUUUUGAUUUUACUUGUUCCUAACCUUAUGUAAGUUCAUUGGCAUAGGAUUAAGGAAUACGUGUUUUUACCAAUUUAGCAUUUAAUUAAACAGUUUAGGAUAAAUUGAUUAAGUUUUAAAUUAAGCUCAAGAAAAAAAUGUGACAACUUUCGGAAGAAAGUCACCGGAAGAAUAGAUUCAACUGUCCGUGACUAAACUAUUGUGUCGUUUUAGGCUUAAUGCUUUCAGAUGGUGAAACCAAAGUCUAUAUAUAUUUUGUUUUCAUCCAUGGAGUCUAUCUCAGAUUUCUAUUUUCCUGAAUCUUUUACUACUCAUAGCAUGUUCGUAAUUCAAUGGAUCAUCGUCUAUGAUGUGUGCCUCAUCAUCAUCCUCUAUGACGAAUUCAUACCUAUUAUUUUCAACACCUUUCCAAAUUUACAAAUAGGAAUAAGGGGUUCCACAAAAGGUAUAUCUACUUGGACAAGUUCAUCUAUAUCAUGCACGAAG